GACACGCUGGCGGCGUGCCUAACACAUGCAAGUCGAACGGAGGUGAUGGGAUAGCUUGCUAUUUAAUCAUCUUAGUGGCGGACGGGUGAGUAACACGUGGGCAACCUGCCCCAAAGAGGGGGAUAACACCGAGAAAUCGGUGCUAAUACCGCAUAAUAUUAGAGCUUCGCAUGGAGCUUUAAUCAAAGGAGCAAUCCGCUUUGGGAUGGGCCCGCGUCUGAUUAGCUAGUUGGUGAGGUAACGGCUCACCAAGGCGACGAUCAGUAGCCGAUCUGAGAGGAUGACCGGCCACACUGGAACUGAGACACGGUCCAGACUCCUACGGGAGGCAGCAGUGGGGAAUAUUGCACAAUGGGGGAAACCCUGAUGCAGCAACGCCGCGUGGAGGAAGAAGGUCUUCGGAUUGUAAACUCCUGUCUUCUGGGACGAAUAAUGACGGUACCAGAGGAGGAAGCCACGGCUAACUACGUG
rnacentral:rRNA from 1 species